rnacentral:rRNA from 1 species
GCAAGUCGAACGGUAACAGCAGGAGCUUGCUCCUGGCUGACGAGUGGCGGACGGGUGAGUAACGCGUGGGAAUCUGCCUUAUAGUGGGGGAUAGCCCGGAGAAAUCCGGAUUAAUACCGCAUACGCCCUACGGGGGAAAGCAGGGGAUCUUCGGACCUUGCGCUAUUAGAGGAGCCCGCGUUAGAUUAGCUUGUUGGUGGGGUAAUGGCCUACCAAGGCAACGAUCUAUAGCUGGUCUGAGAGGACGAUC